rnacentral:rRNA from 1 species
UAGAGUUUGAUCCUGGCUCAGGAUGAACUUUAGCUACAGGCUUAACACAUGCAAGUCGAGGGGAAACGGCGCGGCAGCUUGCUGCCGCGGCCGCCGACCGGCGAAUGGGUGAGUAACACGUAUCCAACCUGCCCCCAGGCAAGGGAUAAUCCAUAGAAAUGUGGCCUAAUACCUUAUGUGGUCAGACGAUGGCAUCAGACUUUGACUAAAGACUUGUCGCCUGGGGAUGGGGAUGCGCCUGAUUAGCUUGUUGGCGGGGCAACGGCCCACCAAGGCAACGAUCAGUAGGGGUUCUGAGAGGAAAGUCCCCCACAUUGGAACUGAGACACGGUCCAAACUCCUACGGGAGGCAGCAGUGAGGAAUAUUGGACAAUGGCCGGAAGGCUGAUCCAGCCAUGCCGCGUGAAGGAAUAAGGUCCUAUGGAUUGUAAACUUCUUUUGUACGAGAGCAAUAAGUGUCACGAGUGACACGAUGAGAGUAUCGUACGAAUAAGCAUCGGCUAACUCCGUGCCAGCAGCCGCGGUAAUACGGAGGAUGCGAGCGUUAUCCGGAUUUAUUGGGUUUAAAGGGUGCGUAGGCGGGAUUUUAAGUAAGCGGUGAAACGCAAGGGCUCAACCCUUGACCUGCCGUUGAAACUGGAGUUCUUGAAUGCGGAUGCUGUGGGAGGAAUGUGUGGUGUAGCGGUGAAAUGCUUAGAUAUCACGAAGAACCCCGAUUGCGAAGGCAGCUGGCGGAAGCGCAACUGACGCUGAAGCUCGAAAGCGCGGGUAUCGAACAGGAUUAGAUACCCUGGUAGUCCGCGCGGUA